UACGUAGGGGCCUAGCGUUGUCCGGAUUUAUUGGGCGUAAAGAGCUCGUAGGCGGUUCGGCAAGUCGGAUGUGAAAUCUCCACGCUUAACGUGGAGGGGCCAUUCGAAACUGCCGUGACUCGAGUCCGGGAGAGGUGAGUGGAACUGCGAGUGUAGAGGUGAAAUUCGUAGAUAUUCGCAAGAACACCAGUGGCGAAGGCGGCUCACUGGCCCGGUACUGACGCUGAGGCACGAAAGCGUGGGGAGCAAACAGG
rnacentral:rRNA from 1 species